GCGGCGAACUGGUGAGGAACACGUAGAUAUCUGCCUCAUAGACUGGAAUAGCCAUUGGAAACAGUGAUUAAUGCCGGAUAUUGCCGCAAGGUGAAAGGCGCGUUUUGCGCCACUAUGAGAUGAGUCUGCGUCCUAUUAGCUAGACGGCGGGGUAAGAGCCCACCGUGGCGACGAUAGGUAGCCGGCCUGAGAGGGUGAUCGGCCACAUCGGGACUGAGAUACGGCCCGGACUCC
rnacentral:rRNA from 1 species